AACGUUUGGAUAGUGUCGCACAAAAAUAUUUAAAACAAAAUUUAUCUUGAAAAAUUAAUGUUUUGCCAAUUUGAAGAAUUAACGUUUGGAUAGUGUCACAAAAAUAUUUAAAAACAAAAUUUAUACUUGAAAAAAUUAAUGUUUUGCCAAUUUGAAGAAUGAUUUGGUACAUUGAUUCACUAUGUAUAAGAGGUUAACACUUUAUUUUAGCAAAAAUCAUAUAUUAAGAGAAAAUAGUAUCCAUUUCCGUCUCAAAAAAAAAGUAUCCAUUUAGAUAAAAAUAUGAAAAUAAUAGUCAUUUUUUCUUUACUACCAUUAUGCGAAAAAUCGAUGAUUGUACAAGUGCUAGACU
rnacentral:lncRNA from 1 species